rnacentral:rRNA from 1 species
AUUGAACGCUGGCGGCAUGCCUUGCACAUGCAAGUCGAACGGCAGCACGGGUGCUUGCACCUGGUGGCGAGUGGCGAACGGGUGAGUAAUACAUCGGAACAUGUCCUGUAGUGGGGGAUAGCCCGGCGAAAGCCGGAUUAAUACCGCAUACGAUCUACGGAUGAAAGCGGGGGACCUUCGGGCCUCGCGCUAUCGGGUUGGCCGAUGGCUGAUUAGCUAGUUGGUGGGGUAAAGGCCUACCAAGGCGACGAUCAGUAGCUGGUCUGAGAGGACGACCAGCCACACUGGGACUGAGACACGGCCCAGACUCCUACGGGAGGCAGCAGUGGGGAAUUUUGGACAAUGGGCGAAAGCCUGAUCCAGCAAUGCCGCGUGUGUGAAGAAGGCCUUCGGGUUGUAAAGCACUUUUGUCCGGAAAGAAAUCCUUGGCCCUAAUACGGUCGGGGGAUGACGGUACCGGAAGAAUAAGCACCGGCUAACUACGUG